CCCGAAGACGCGCGGGCCGAGGUGGCGGAGGAGGACGGAUCCGGCGACGCGAGAGCUCAUCGCCGAAGAUGACGAGCCUGCUUCGUGGGCUGCGGCUCUGCUCGCGAAACUCGUGGUCGCAGCCUCGCGAAGCUGCAGACGUGCCGAGCUCUGAGAGGGUGACGGGACGACGUGUCGGUGUCGCCGAGCUAGCGCGCGCCACGAUGGCAUGGCGCUACGAGCGGGUGAGGUGAGGCGUGAGAGGAAUGGCGGCUCUGCUUGGCUGAUAUUUUGGAGCUCGCUGUUGACGACUGGUGGGCAGCUUCUGCGCGCGCUCGCCCGUAAAACUUGUAAUUUCGGAUGUGCCCCGGCUUUUCAGGAGUCGGGAUUGGGUGUCAAAAUCGUUGCGGCUGCUAUGUGGUGCUGUGGCUGGCUGCUAAGACCACCAGUGGACUCUGAACUUGGCCGUGGCCGUGCGUCGACGUGCCUAGAAUCUUUGUGUUCUCGUUCAAAAAUGCUAAAUAUACAAAGAUUUACAUAACAAUUACAUGCUGAUUAGGAUUUUUUCUUUCUAACUAGCCUUCUUUAGAUUUUCAAGAAAAGUGAGGCUUCAUCCCCUUAAUCUCAAUUAAAAUAUAUAUGUAUGUAAAACUCUGUAAACUUAUGUACGUAUGGUAUUAUUGUUCCAUUUCAACGGAUAAGGAAAGAUUGCUGAUUAAAGUGGACUUGCUUUCACACGAAACAUGGAGUGGACUACUGCAUUUUCCGCUCGUUUGGAGCUGCGUCAAAGAACUCUUAGCUUGUCAUGGCAACAGAAAAAGAAAUAGCUCUUACGACAUCUACAGCCGGACUCUUGAUAUUGAUCAACCGGGAGCAGAGAUCAAUGAUCGAACAAAAAGAAAAGGAAAAGGUGAACCCUUCAUAGCGUUUUUAAAUGUCCAGACUGUCCAACACCCCUCGUAUUGUCAUCGCAGCAAGUACAAUAGAGCUGAGCCAGCUGGCUAUAAGAAAUAAACUAUUAUUUUUUUCUUAGUUGGAGGAAAAAGAAAAGAAGAGAGAAGAUAAGCGGGCUCUUAGUUAAGAGUCAGCUCUAUCACGUGUUCCUAGGCACUCUGUGAGAGUGAAAGGUGGACUAUAUAAUAAAAACUAGUACACUUUUCUAAUCAAUUAUUAUACAUGUUGGUUAUAAGAUGGGCUAUAGAUGACAUGACAAUGGCUUUCAGCAGCUGACUGUACUACUAACCAUGCUCUCAUAUAUGAGAUGAGUAUGAGAUGCGUUCGGGUGUGUUCGAUCAAUGGUCCUCCAUCUGUCACAUAGGAUUUGGCCCACAUUUUUUUGUUUAUAUUUUCUCACUUUAUGUUCAUCAAUCACAUGCAUGUGACCGGACAUAUAAAAAAAUAUGGUUGUGAAAAUGAAAAUUUAAGAGUUGACCAGUGAGUAUAUGCAAACGCGCAUGGUCACGUCCACGUACGUUUGAAGAGACGGAUUUAUAGGUUGCGGUUGUAGAUGCUCUUAGCUCCAUUUGAAAUGAAUGAACUAAAAACAUAGGAAUGGGACAAACACAUGGAUUGAGUUGUGGUAUAUCCUAGAUUCCUACAGGAAGCAAAACCAUGAAAAAACUUUAAAACUAUCAGUUUUUUAAGGUCAUCGGGGGAGGGCAGGGCCCUCCACCUCAAUUGUAUUAAGAAUUUUCCUAUAAGACUUUGCGGCCUCGCAAGAUAGGUUUAAGCUAACUAGAAGUACAUGGGACACAAGGAAAAAGAGAUAAACCAAAAAAAUGCACGCCAACAACACACAUAACAAGGGCAACAAGGAAGGAAAACACAACAAAGAGCGUCAUAGGAGAAGACCAACAUUGGCCAGCCAAACCAAACCACGACACUGCAUCGUCGACGCAAUCCAAUGACACCUCACAAACAAAGACUGCACAACGCCAUGACACAGGACCUGCAUCACGAGGCGCAAUCGAAGGCCACACAAGGCCGAGAUAACGCCAUGACACGUGUGUGCCAUCGACAUAGUCGAGGGGCAUCGCCAAGCAAACCAAGCUGAAGCACUGCAUCAUCGACGCAAUCCAACGGCACCUCACAAACCAAGACUACACGAAGUUGUCGCACCACCUGCGUCAGGGGUGCAUUCAAAUGGAAAUGUGAGGCCGAGACGACGCCACGACACCUGUGUGCCAACAACAUAACCGCAGGGACCGCCAAGCAAAGAUGCACCAAGAGUACUCGAGCACGACACACACCACUAUCGACCCGAGACCGACCGCACCACCACCACCGACCACCAACCUCAAACCAGCUAACCACCAUCCCAAACCUCACGCAAGCAGAAUGUCACUUCAUCUCCCAAGACAGGCGACACCACUGUGAUAAAACAACGUUAAGGACGUCGCCGUCGUUCGAUCCAGAAGCUGGAUCAAGGCUUUCACCCAUAGAAUGAACAGAGUAGACGUGAAACCAAUGCAUCGCACAACUGCACCUCCAAGGAGGGAUCCCACGCUAGGAAGCGACGCUGCCUCUCGUGCCGACCGAAAUUAGCACACGGCUUUCACUGGAAGCAUCACCCGCACCACCCUGCCGCAGAGUCACAUCGCUGUCGAGACCGGUGGAACCGCCGAAGAAGGCAGGACACCAGCGAG
rnacentral:lncRNA from 1 species